rnacentral:tRNA from 1 species
GUCGGCGUAGCUCAGGUGGUUAGAGCGUGGGACUCAUAAGCCCAAGGUCGGAGGUUCGAGUCCUCCCGCCGACACCA